rnacentral:miRNA from 1 species
CAGUUUGUGCGUGAAUCGAAC